rnacentral:rRNA from 1 species
GAGUUUGAUCCUGGCUCAGAAUGAACGCUGGCGGCGUGCUUUACACAUGCAAGUCGAGCGAGGCGUGGAGCAAUCCACAGUCGAGCGGCGAACGGGUGAGUAACGCGUGGAUGACCUGCCCUUCAGCGGGGAAUAACCCGGGGAAACUCGGGCUAAUACCGCAUACGACCGAGAGGUGAAAGGGGCCCGCAAGGGUCUCACUGAAGGAGGGGUCCGCGUUCGAUUAGCUAGUUGGUAGGGUAAUGGCCUACCAAGGCGACGAUCGAUAGCCGGCCUGAGAGGGUGAUCGGCCACACUGGAACUGAGACACGGUCCAGACUCCUACGGGAGGCAGCAGUGGGGAAUUUUGCGCAAUGGGCGGAAGCCUGACGCAGCAACGCCGCGUGGAGGAUGAAGGUCUUUGGAUUGUAAACUCCUGUCAGCAGGGAAAAAGGGACUGGGCCUCAUACGUCCGGAACUUGAUAGACCUGCAGAGGAA